AGAGAAUAUAAAAAACAAGAUGGGCAGAAAAACAAGAUGCCUAGAUAUUCACAGUUGAAACCAUUGCGUUGUAACGACCAUUGUUAUGACAAAUCAUGGUAUCACUAUUUGCUUCUAGGACAUUGUAUCACUUACCAAUUUGGAAACUACACUCAAGUCUACGGCACUUGUGUCACUUCUACAACUACCGAAUAGUUUCACUUAUGGUAUUUCUACAACUACAGUCAUGGCUACCUCACAACAUUCACUUUUACAACUACUUUUACAGCUAUGUAUCUCACCAGUGAAACUUCUAUAAGUACAAUCAAAUACAUAUGUCUGGGUAGUCCAUCAUAAAGGUUUAUUUUCUUCUAGGACAUUGUAUUUAAUACAUACAUGUACUGAUAGACGGCUACACCUAUAAGUAAGGGAUGUUGUAAGGGGCAGUUUCAGCCCUUUUUCUACGGUAGUAAAGUGUAGUCUAUGUAACACAAACCUUGCUAUUCAUGGCUAUAACUGGCGCAUGGCCCAUGAGGCUAGAUGUUAAGCGGGCUGCUAUAAGCGAGAUUUAAUCAGUCAGUUGUCGUUGAAAGUAUUGUAAUCUAACAUAGGCGGCACGUUUAACUGAAAUGACAGUGCUGGUGCUGGGUGUCUGCCAGUUCAAGGCCGACUAUGUAUAAACCUAAAGUAUUGUUUACAUUGGCUUGCUGUGUGUUACUAAACCGAUGGUGCUGGGUGGUUGCCAAGUCAAGGCCCACUAUCUAUAAACUGAUAGUAUUGUUUGCACUGGCUGGCUGUGUGUUACUAAAUCGAUAUAUAAAUCGACAUAGGCGCCCCAGUUCAAGGCCGACUAUGUAUAAACUGAUAGUAUUGUUUGCAUUGGCUCGCUGUGUGUUACUAAACCGAUAGUGCUGGGUGUUUGCCAGUUCAAGGCCGACUAUGUAUA